UACGGAGGGUGCGAGCGUUAAUCGGAAUUACUGGGCGUAAAGCGCACGUAGGCGGCUUGGUAUGUCGGGUGUGAAAUCCCCGGGCUCAACCUGGGAACUGCAUCCGAAACUGCCUUGCUCGAGUAUGGGAGAGGGAAGUGGAAUUUCCGGUGUAGCGGUGAAAUGCGUAGAUAUCGGAAGGAACAUCAGUGGCGAAGGCGACUUCCUGGACCAAUACUGACGCUCAGGUGCGAAAGCGUGGGGAGCAAACAGGG
rnacentral:rRNA from 1 species